UACGAGGGGGGCUAGCGUUGUUCGGAAUUACUGGGCGUAAAGCGUGCGCAGGCGGCUUCUCAAGUCAGGGGUGAAAGCCCAGAGCUCAACUCUGGAAUUGCCUUUGAGACUGAGUGGCUUGAGUACGAGAGAGGUGAGUGGAAUUCCCAGUGUAGAGGUGAAAUUCGUAGAUAUUGGGAAGAACACCGGUGGCGAAGGCGGCUCACUGGCUCGUAACUGACGCUCAUGCACGACAGCGUUGGGAUCAAACAGG
rnacentral:rRNA from 1 species